GCCCGCUGCCGUUGAGAUUGCAGUGAGACGCGGAGAAAAUGUGGAGUGGUGCUCUUUGCAAUAGAACAUCUUUGAUGGGACGUGUCGCGUCUCGGCCAAUCAGCGUUCAGAUGUCCACAGCGUUUGGGAAGUUAGGUUAGCUUGGAUGUUAGUCCGCUACAUCUGCUGCCGUCACGCUGCACGGUGUAGCGAUACUAACAAAGUACCCGUACGUUAAAAACGAUGUGAUUUAGCAUAUUUUUAGUAUCGAUACUUCAUUAAAAGAGCGAUCAGAGCGCACGCGCUGCUUCGCUCCGUUAAAUGCUGUCUGCACGUGCAUGCACUCACAGCGAGUGGCGCGCGCAUCCAGGAUUUUUCCUGGGUCAAAAUGAGUCUUCGGUGCACCGUCUACUCGUGCAAGUCGGUCUGUUGAUGACUGACUUCCUCCCGAGAAGCCUGAGAAUGGAGGACCACCUGUACGCACGGGGCGACGCCAGAGCUGUUGGCGACUUCGUUGGAGCUCCGCCGCCACCCCCCCCUCCCAGCCCCCCGGCGGCAGCCAUCGGCAUCGACUACGGAGCUGGUGGCGACUACGAUGGAGCUCCUGGCCUCCCUACGGCCAUCAGGUUAGUGCAGGAAGGUAACGUUGCACAAGAUGAGUUUAACCAUGUGCAUGUGGAUUUGUUGCUCUUCUUGGCCCGUUUCCCAGCAGAUGACCUUCGGUUCCGACCCGUCCGAGGCCGACUCCGCCGACUCCUCCGACGCGCCCGACGCGUCCAACUUCGACAGGCCAGACGCGGACUGGCCCGCAGGUAAGUUAUCAGGUUAGUGAUACACUUGUCCCUUUAAACUUACACUACACUGUUUAAAGUACUGUUAUUGGUUUGUAUGUGCACUUUAUUUUAUAUUCAACUGUAAAUGUAAAAUGUUACAAUUCUUGCACUUUGUUGAUUGUUGAUUGUUGAUUGUUUAAUGUUGUCUAAUGUUGCACCACCCGCCAUGACACAUUCCUUGUAUGUGAAAAUAUAGUUUCCAAUAGAUAGAUGAAUAGACAGACCGAGAGACAAUAGAUAGAUAGAUAGAUAGGCAGACAGACAGACAGAUGGACGGAUAGAUAGAGCAAUGAACAGAUCCUUUAUUUAUCCACAGGGGGAAAUUUGGUUGUAGAAGCAAGGUUACAGAGUAAAACACACAAUAUAUACAAUAAAAUAUUUGAGCAGGACAUAUUCAAUUUUAGAAAAUUAAAUGACAAAGAAAAUGCAAAGUCUAUAGAGUGUAUUUUCAGUUCAAGGGUUAUUGAUCAAUUUAAGGAGGAUAUGGUCAGAGGUGAUUUAUUAUAAAGUCUUUUAGCAGUUGGCAGGAAUGUUCUCCCGUGUCUGUCCUUUGGUAUUCCUUUCCUCUCACCCUCUCUUUAGCUGUGGAACGUCCUGAAGCAGCUCCGGCCCCAGCCCCCCAGAAACCAGAAGAGUCCACCAGGAGCAGCAGGGAAGAGGAGCCCGACUGCCCGGCAGGACUGAUAAAGUGCCAACCAGCCUUCCCCCGCCAGGCAUGGUUAUACUUACUAACAUUAAGAAAAGUCUCCAAGUUUUUUAUUUAGGUAUCGAUUGCUGUGAUACAAGAAGAAACUUCCAGGAUCUCCUUGAUGACGACGAAGAAGAUGACGAGGGAGGACCACAUGAGAAGGAUGAAGGACUACAGGACCAGAAGCAGAGCGGCGGUUGCCUUUCUUUUAGUGGGCGGAGGCAGGACUCCUCUGUCUCUCACCCAGCUGGAGGAGGACGUCAACUAACCCGUCACCCUCAGCAGACCACUACACAAGUCAAUCAGGACCCCCCCCCCCCGCCCGUCCACCCAAACCCCCGACACCGCCCGCCCCGCCCACACAGGAAGCAGCUGUGAAGAAGACGGACGCUUCAGCCUGAACAAGACAUCAUAAUUCUUUCAUUUGUCACAUGGAAUCCUGUAUGUUCAUGUAAACUGUGUACAGUAUGUAGAUUGUUAUCUCCUGAUUUUAAUGAAUACAUUUACCACAA